CCUACGUGAGACUGCAGUGGGGAAUAUUGCGCAAUGGGCGAAAGCCUGACGCAGCGACGCCGCGUGAGGGAUGAAGGUCUUCGGUUCGUAGACCUCUGUCAGCAGGGAAGAACGGUCACUGUGCUAAUCAGCAGUGAAUUGACGGUACCUGCAAAGGAAGCACCGGCUAACUCCGUGCCAGCAGCCGCGGUAAUACGGAGGGUGCGAGCGUUAAUCGGAAUUACUGGGCGUAAAGCGCUCGUAGGCGGUAUGUCAAGUCAAGGGUGAAAUCCCCGCGCUCAACGUGGGAACUGCCUUUGAAACUGGCAAACUGGAGUGUGUGAGAGGAUAGUGGAAUUCCAGGUGGAGGAGUGAAAUCCGUAGAUAUCUGGAGGAACAUCAGUUGCGAAGGCGACUAUCUGGCACAUAACUGACGCUGAGGAGCGAAAGCGUGGGUAGCAAACAGGAUUAGAUACCCGAGUAGUC
rnacentral:rRNA from 1 species